rnacentral:rRNA from 1 species
GAUGAACGCUGGCGGCGUGCCUUAAGCAUGCAAGUCGGACGGUGAUUGUCCUUCGGACAAAAGCAGUGGCGGACGGGUGAGUAACGUCUGGGAAACUGCCCGAUGGAGGGGGAUAACUACUGGAAACGGUAGCUAAUACCGCAUAACGUCGCAAGACCAAAGUGGGGGACCUUCGGGCCUCACACCAUCGGAUGUGCCCAGAUGGGAUUAGCUAGUAGGUGGGGUAAUGGCUCACCUAGGCGACGAUCCCUAGCUGGUCUGAGAGGAUGACCAGCCACACUGGAACUGAGACACGGUCCAGACUCCUACGGGAGGCAGCAGUGGGGAAUAUUGCACAAUGGGCGCAAGCCUGAUGCAGCCAUGCCGCGUGUAUGAAGAAGGCCUUCGGGUUGUAAAGUACUUUCAGCGGGGAGGAAGGCGGUGAAGUUAAUAGCUUCACCGAUUGACGUUACCCGCAGAAGAAGCACCGGCUAACUCCGUGCCAGCAGCCGCAGUAA